GGCGUGCUCGUCUAUCGGCAGGACACGGCCCUCUCAAGGCUGAAAGACGGGUUCAAUUCCCGUGCGCGCUACCA
rnacentral:tRNA from 1 species